rnacentral:rRNA from 1 species
GCCGCGUGAGUGAUGAAGGCCUUAGGGUCGUAAAGCUCUUUCGCUGGGGAAGAUAAUGACUGUACCCAGUAAAGAAACCCCGGCUAACUCCGUGCCAGCAGCCGCGGUAAUACGGAGGGGGUUAGCGUUGUUCGGAAUUACUGGGCGUAAAGCGCGCGUAGGCGGAUCAGAAAGUUGGGGGUGAAAUCCCAGGGCUCAACCCUGGAACUGCCUCCAAAACUCCUGGUCUUGAGUUCGAGAGAGGUGAGUGGAAUUCCAAGUGUAAAGGUGAAAUUCAUAUAUAUUUGGAGGAACACCAGUGGCGAAGGCGGCUCACUGGCUCGAUACUGACGCUGAGGUGCGAAAGUGUGGGGAGCAAACAGGAUUAAAUACCCUGGUAGUCCACACCGUAAACGAUGAAUGCCAGUCGUCGGGUAGUAUACUGCUCGGUGACACACCUAACGGAUUAAGCAUUCCGCCUGGGGAGUACGGUCGCAAGAUUAAAACUCAAAGGAAAUUGACGGAGACACACCCCCGAGGAAAAGACUCAAGAUUUUCCCCGAAGUGCAGUUUCUUGUUGUUUUUUUGUGG